AAAACCCAAAAUUCGAACAACACUCGUCCCACUCUGAAUCACGUACCUGAACCUCAUUGAAAAUAACCCGAGCCUAACGACACUAAACAGGGCACAAUCUGGGCCUAAGCUGACCCGAGAACAACCCCCCCUUCACCGCCGCUGCGCCGGCACGGUGGUUGUUGCCGGUCUCCGCCGCUGCUGCGGUGUUCAUUCUUGCUGCGCCGCCACCAUAAUGGUGGUCGGCGGUUCAGUUACAAAGAGAGAGAGGAGAGACGAGAGGUGGUGAGUAGGUUUGUUGCGUUGGGGCAUUUGUUCACUGGCUGGGAUCGAGAAGAAGAACGAGGGUGUAGGUGACUGUGAGGGAGGAGAAGGGUGGUCGUGGUGUGGCCGGAGAAGACAGGGAGCCGGAGUGUUAGUUUAGGAUUAAAUUAUGAAAAGUUCGCGUCGGUUGUCGAUAUUGGUCACGUUCAAGAACCUUUGUGAUAUGACGUAUUAUACCACAUAUUAAUAAUUGAAGUCUUUGAACAGUAACAAAGGGCAUGUUAGGAAUUUCAUAUCAACCAUAGUUUCCACCGCUUCUCAUCCCUUUUCUUUUGCUGUAUGAAGUAUGAACACAGAAUAGGAAUAGGGUUUAGACAGAGGAGUAAGAGAGAGAGAGACAGAUUAGAGGUGGAGAGGGAUCGGAGCCGUCGUCUCCAACUGGCCACCCUCUUGGCGGUGAUGAGGCUUCUCAUCCCUUUUCUUUUGCUGUAUGAAGUAUGAACACAGAAUAGGAAUAGGGUUUAGACAGAGGAGUAAGAGAGAGAGAGACAGAUUAGAGGUGGAGAGGGAUCGGAGCCGUCGUCUCCAACUGGCCACCCUCUUGGCGGUGAUGACGAUCGGCGGCUUUUGACGCGGUAAACAGUAGAGAGAGCAGCGGUGGACAGAGAGAGAGGAGCGGCGGUGAUGGAAAAACCGGCCAUGUCUCCGACCGGACACCCAUGGUGGUGGUUGACGGUCACCGUGACGGCUAUGGCUUCUAGGAUUCGCUCGACAUUCUGGUGGAUUCCCAAGCCUAAAAGACCAGUAUGAGUCACAGAACCCGGAAUAUGGCCAGCCAGAGGCGUGGAGGGAGGAGAUGGAGGAGUUGCCGGUGGGAGAUUGGGAAUUACGGAAAUGCCUAUGGUGACCGUCCGUCGCGUUCUUUAUAAGGUUCGAUUUUUUCGUUUAGGUAUUAGAAUUUGUGCUUGAUUUGUGAAUUAGUUUGGUAUAUAUACUCAUCUAACGAGUAUGUGAUGCUGCUCUAACAACUUUGAGAGAAUGAGGUUACAUGUAUGCUUUCUAACUAUUCAUCAUCAGACCUUCAAAUCGCUCCACUGAUCUUUGUUUUAGUCUGACAUGAUGGUUUUUGUUGGUGUAUUUGAAGUAACCAUAUGGUCGACUUGAUUCGCCACAUGGUAAAGUUUUGAAGUUGUUAUGGCACGAGUUAGUGGGCUUGUCACGAGCACAAUUUUGCCUACCACGUUGUGAUUAUCAACAUCGAUUAAGAAAUUUGUAGGGCUUACAAGUGGUACUUGCAGUUCAGAGAAGAAUACCAGGUUCCGUUUGAUGGAGGAAUAUGACAAGAAACAGAUGUAUUCAAAGCUUUAGCUCUUGGUGCGAAGUGGUUAUAGUAAUUUUACCAACAAAUGGGAGAAAAAACUCAAAAUUUUAGCGAUUUUCUUAGAAUUAUACAUGGUGAUAUUUUCUAAUAUUGUAGGUUGGGCGAGCGGUUAUGUGUGGCUUAACAACAAAGGGUGAGUAUGGAGUAAAAACAGUGAUCGAGAUGUUGAAGGAUGAACUAGAGUUCACAAUGGCUCUUUCCGGCUGCCCUACUCUCAACGGUGUUACCGCGAACCAUAUCAGAACUUAGAAAUUAAAAAAUACUUGCUUUGUUCAAAAGUAUUGCACUUCAAUAUUUUCUAGCUGGAGUUUCAUCUACAGAUUCAUUAUAUUUGAUAAUAAAUGAAGAAAGUCAAAUUGAGUUGAGGGAUAAGGCUGCAGAGGUGCUGAAAUGAAGGAGCCAAUAACUGUGGAAGAAAAGCAACACAACGGCCUAUGGUCAAUGACAGCAAUGGAAAGAUUUUCAUUUUUAACAUACAUGUGCGAUUUAUUAACGAAUAAUCUAAGAUACACUUGCGAGUGAAACCAACUAUUGUAGCUGCUUAACAUAUGCCGGAUACAACAGGUUCAUAUGGCGCGCCCAACCAACUAUUGUAACUGCUUAACAGAUGCCGGAUGCAGCAGAAGUAUACGAUACCAAAGUGUAAUUGUUCCUUUGACAAUAUUGUAUAUGUAUGUCUUAUGGAUCAAGUUUUUGGUUUUUUAAGUAGAACGAAGUGAUCUUUGUAUCCAUAUACAUUAUUUCGCUUUAAUGUGACAAAGUUGGUUUGAUUUGUACAAA